rnacentral:rRNA from 1 species
AACGAACGCUGGCGGCAUGCCUAACACAUGCAAGUCGAACGAGACCUUCGGGUCUAGUGGCGCACGGGUGCGUAACGCGUGGGAACCUGCCCUUAGGUUCGGAAUAACUCCCCUUAAGGGGUGCUAAUACCGGAUAAUUUCUUCUGACCAAAGAUUUAUCGCCUUUGGAUGGGCCCGCGUUGGAUUAGCUAGUUGGUAGGGUAAAAGCCUACCAAGGCGACGAUCCAUAGCUGGUCUGAGAGGAUGAUCAGCCACACUGGGACUGAGACACGGCCCAGACUCCUACGGGAGGCAGCAGUGGGGAAUAUUGGACAAUGGGCGAAAGCCUGAUCCAGCAAUGCCGCGUGAGUGAUGAAGGCCUUAGGGUUGUAAAGCUCUUUUACCCGGGAUGAUAAUGACAGUACCGGGAGAAUAAGCACCGGCUAACUCCGUG